rnacentral:rRNA from 1 species
GAUGAACGCUGGCGGCGUGCCUAAUACAUGCAAGUCGAGCGAACAGACGAGGAGCUUGCUCCUCUGACGUUAGCGGCGGACGGGUGAGUAACACGUGGAUAACCUACCUAUAAGACUGGGAUAACUUCGGGAAACCGGAGCUAAUACCGGAUAAUAUAUUGAACCGCAUGGUUCAAUAGUGAAAGACGGUUUUGCUGUCACUUAUAGAUGGAUCCGCGCCGCAUUAGCUAGUUGGUAAGGUAACGGCUUACCAAGGCAACGAUGCGUAGCCGACCUGAGAGGGGAAUCGGCCACACUGGAACUGAGAAACGGUCCAGACUCCUAGGGGAGGAAGAAGUAGGAAAUCUUCGGAAAGGGGCGAAAGCCUGACGGGGAAACGCGGGGUGGGGGAUGAAGGUUUCCGAAUCGUAAAACUCUGUUAUAAGGAAAAAAAAAAUGUGAAAGUAACUAUGAAGGUCUGAAGGGAACCUAAUAAGAAAGCCACGGCAAACUACGU